GAGGAAUAUUGCACAAUGGAGGAAACUCUGAUGCAGCAACGCCGCGUGGAGGAUGACGCAUUUCGGUGUGUAAACUCCUUUUAAGAGGGAAGAUUAUGACGGUACCUCUUGAAUAAGCACCGGCUAACUCCGUGCCAGCAGCCGCGGUAAUACGGAGGGUGCAAGCGUUACUCGGAAUCACUGGGCGUAAAGGGUGCGUAGGCUGGCUUCUAAGUCAGAUGUGAAAUCCAAUGGCUUAACCAUUGAACUGCAUUUGAAACUGGGAGCCUAGAGUUCAGAAGGGGCAGAUGGAAUUAGUGGUGUAGGGGUAAAAUCCGUAGAUAUCACUAGGAAUAUCAAAAGCGAAGGCGAUCUGCUGGGAUGAUACUGACGCUGAGGCACGAAAGCGUGGGGAGCAAAC
rnacentral:rRNA from 1 species